GUGGAAACAAGAUGAGAGAUACAUUAUACAAGUUAAUUUGCAGAGAAUAAUUGUGUUUCAGAGUAGCCCUGCUGUCAUUUAGAGCUAUCUUCCCAUUAUGCUUAUAUGGAAAGUAGGUGCAACUUAACUACCUCUGAAUUUGGAGGAGCUAAUCACCUUUUAAGGACACUAUAAAUCUUAAUGAGACAGACAGUAUUAUGGUAUUUAUAAAAUAUGAGGCUAUAAACACAUUUAUUUUACAUUAUAUGGCUGUGCUGCUGUGAUAAAUAAAGCAACAUUUACAGACGGUUUAACAUUCAACAUCUAUUUUAUUUUAUAUUGCAGUAACACUGAUUUUUAAGAGGCGUGUUGCAAUACAACUCCCGGCCACCGGAGGCAGCACCAAUAUCGUUUAGCGCAGGUGUGCGAGACAGAAAUUAGGCGCCAUCUUGGAUUUUAUAAUGGUCGUCAUUACUUUAGGAAAUAACACUCCUUAGAAUUUUAUAACUUUACACCGGCCUGGAAUAGACAUUUUUUCAUCCUGAUAUAUCAAGUCCAGCUUGCCUCGAGUUAGUUACGGUUGUUAAUGAGCACAGAGUACCUGAAAUAGGCGGGUCGCUCCAAUGGUCGUGUAUCACAACAAACUAACAACAACAACAACAACAACAACAACAACUACUACUACUACUACUACUAAGUGUUGCUAAAGGUUGGAGCUGUCUCAAGGAAUAUAUGAAGUUGUCUCCUGCUCCCCCCUGUGACCAGGAAGCAGCUAGCCACAGUCCAUGACUUCACCCAGCCCAUAAAUCCCCCAGGGCAUCUGUCUGGGAUCUGCCAGGCUCAUCAGUGGAGAAGAGAAGGCUAACUGGGAGCCUGUACUGGCUGUAAAUCUGACCAGGGAGGGAGGAAAACCUGCAGUGGCCACACUUCCACUGCAGCCCAUGUAGUUGCUCAAGCCCCAGGCCAGUAAUGCACGGUUGGGACGCCAUAUGUUUGAACAGCCCCCAGAUCUUCUGUCAACACCCAGCAGCCCAGGACAUCAGCGGCAAAGACGGCAGACUUGCAAUCUUGUUUGAACUUCUGCAUUCAAGGGAGAAGAACCAAAGGCACAGAAAUAAGGAUUAAGAGAAGUCCUGUAAAAGCAGUUGUUCUGGGCCAUGCCUCUGGAACCACCAAUAGUUUCAUGCACUCAUCAUGAGGUGUGUGUUAUUGACCACGACGGACAGGUAGGACUUUUGACGUCUCACACCAACACCAGUAAUCCGCAGCAAGCAGCCACACUGUCUACACAGGGAGAGGAAAUAAUAAUACGACGUCGUCCACAAUAUUACGAUUAAAGGUAUGGCCAUUUUCUUCCUACUAUGGCAGUAGGCCUACAUGGACUUUGCUUUAUGACUUUUUAGCUGACGACAAAGGCUGUACAUUGAACAGUCAAAACUAACUUGAAAUAUGAGGGAUAAUAUGCAUUGACAGGCGGAUUUGUAGCUACCCCAUUUAAAAAAAAAAAAAAAAGAUUAUUUUCCUCUAAGUGAAGGGCACGCAGCAGGGAUGGCUGGGAGAAAAACAGGGCUGCUUUAGAUAUAUGUAU